GACGAACGCUGGCGGCGUGCUUAACACAUGCCAGUCGAACGAGUGGCGAACGGGUGAGUAAUACGUGGGUAACCUGCCCUCUUUUUGGGAUAAGCCUCGGAAACGGGGUCUAUUACCGAAUAAGGGGGAUGGGCUCUGGGCUUAUCAGCUGGUUGGUGGGGUGAUGGUCUACCAAGGCGGGGACGUGUAGCCGGCCUGAGAGGGUGACCGGCCACAUUGGGACUGAGUUACGGCCCAGACUCCUACGGGAGGCAGCAGUGGGGGAUAUUGCACAAUGGGCGAAAGCCUGAUGCAGCGACGCCGCGUGAGGGAUGAAGGCUUUCUGAUUGUAAACCUCUUUCGCUCUCGAACGGGUAGUUGAAGAAGAAGCGCCGGCUAACUACGUGCCAGCAGCCGCGGUAAUAC
rnacentral:rRNA from 1 species